rnacentral:rRNA from 1 species
CGAAGGGGCUAGCGUUGCUCGGAAUUACUGGGCGUAAAGGGAGCGUAGGCGGACAUUUAAGUCAGGGGUGAAAUCCCAGAGCUCAACUCUGGAACUGCCUUUGAUACUGGGUGUCUUGAGUGUGAGAGAGGUAUGUGGAACUCCGAGUGUAGAGGUGAAAUUCGUAGAUAUUCGGAAGAACACCAGUGGCGAAGGCGACAUACUGGCUCAUUACUGACGCUGAGGCUCGAAAGCGUGGGGAGCAAACAGGAUU